GAUGAACGCUGGCGGCGUGCCUAAUACAUGCAAGUCGAGCGAACGGACGAGACGCUUGCUUCUCUGAUGUUAGCGGCGGACGGGUGAGUAACACGUGUAUAACCUACCUAUAAGACUGGGAUAACUUCGGGAAACCGGAGCUAAUACCGGAUAAUAUUUUGAACCGCAUGGUUCAAAAGUGAAAGACGGUCUUGCUGUCACUUAUAGAUGGAUCCGCGCUGCAUUAGCUAGUUGGUAAGGUAACGGCUUACCAAGGCAACGAUGCAUAGCCGACCUGAGAGGGUGAUCGGCCACACUGGAACUGAGACACGGUCCAGACUCCUACGGGAGGCAGCAGUAGGGAAUCUGACGCAAUGGGCGAAAGCCUGACGGAGCAACGGCGCGUGAGUGAUGAAGGUCUUCGGAUCGUAAAACUCUGUUAUUAGGGAAGAACAGAUGUGGAAGUAACUGUGCACAUCGUGACGGUACCUAAUCAGAAAGCCACGGCUAACUACGUG
rnacentral:rRNA from 1 species